rnacentral:rRNA from 1 species
UACGUAGGGUGCAAGCGUUAAUCGGAAUUACUGGGCGUAAAGCGUGCGCAGGCGGUUUUGUAAGUUUGUCGUGAAAUCCCCCGGGCUCAACCUGGGGAAUGGCGAUGAAGACUGCAAGGCUAGAAUCUGGCAGAGGGGGGGUAGAAUUCCACGUGUAGCAGUGAAAAUGCGUAGAGAUGUGGAGGAACACCGAUGGCGAAGGCAGCCCCCUGGGCA